UACGUAGGGGGCAAGCGUUGUCCGGAUUUAUUGGGCGUAAAGAGCGUGUAGGCGGCCAGGUAGGUCUGCUGUGAAAACUCGAGGCUUAACCUCGAGAUGUCGGCGGAAACCAUCUGGCUAGAGUCCGGAAGAGGAGAGUGGAAUUCCUGGUGUAGCGGUGAAAUGCGCAGAUAUCAGGAAGAACACCGGUGGCGAAGGCGCUCUGCUAGGCCGCAACUGACACUGAGGGACGAAAGCUAGGGGAGCGAAUGGG
rnacentral:rRNA from 1 species